rnacentral:rRNA from 1 species
ACGAACGCUGGCGGCGUGCUUAACACAUGCAAGUCGAACGGAAAGGCCUCUUUCGGGGGGUACUCGAGUGGCGAACGGGUGAGUAACACGUGAGUAACCUGCCCUUGACUUUGGGAUAACUUCAGGAAACUGGGGCUAAUACCGGAUAGGAGCUCCUGCUGCAUGGUGGGGGUUGGAAAGUUUCGGCGGUUGGGGAUGGACUCGCGGCUUAUCAGCUUGUUGGUGGGGUAGUGGCUUACCAAGGCUUUGACGGGUAGCCGGCCUGAGAGGGUGACCGGCCACAUUGGGACUGAGAUACGGCCCAGACUCCUACGGGAGGCAGCAGUGGGGAAUAUUGCACAAUGGGUGGAAGCCUGAUGCAGCAACGCCGUGUGCGGGAUGACGGCCUUUGGGUUGUAAACCGCUUUCGCUCAUGACGAAGCUUUGUGUGACGGUAGUGGAUAAAGAAGCACCGGCUAACUACGUG